GCCCGCGUAGCUCAGUGGAUAGAGCGUCUGCCUCCGGAGCAGAAGGUCGUAGGUUCGAAUCCUGUCGCGGGCG
rnacentral:tRNA from 3 species